UGCUGCCUGAAGGAAACUUACUUCAACUUUAAGGACACAAACAGACUGAAAGUGAAGGGAUGGAAAGAGAUAUUCUACACAAAUGGAA